rnacentral:rRNA from 1 species
UAAACUGGGAUUAGAUACCCCACUAUGCCUAGCCGUAAACUUUGAUGGAAACAUACAACUGACAUCCGCCAGGGGACUAUAAGCGCCAGCUUAAAACCCAAAGGACUUGGCGGUGCCUCAGACCCACCUAGAGGAGCCUGUUCUAGAACCGAUAACCCCCGUUCAACCUCACCACCUCUUGUUUUCCCCGCCUAUAUACCACCGUCGUCAGCUUACCCUGUGAAGGCCUUAUAGUAAGCAAAAUGGGCAAAACCCAAAACGUCAGGUCGAGGUGUAGCGCAUGGGGUGGGAAGAAAUGGGCUACAUUCUCUAAAUUAGAGCACUACGAACCACGCUGUGAAACCAGCGUCCAAAGGUGGAUUUAGCAGUAAAUAGAAAAUAGAGAGUUCUCUUGAAACUGGCUCUGAGGCGCGCACACACCGCCCGCCCGUCACCCUCA